AGCUUAGCCUUUGGGUCAAAUGGUAACUCUGUGGUUGACCUUUUGAGGAAAUGCCAAACUGUUUACCAAAGCAACUGUACCACUUUGCAUUCCCAUCAGC
rnacentral:pre_miRNA from 1 species